rnacentral:rRNA from 1 species
AGAGUUUGAUCCUGGCUCAGGAUGAACGCUAGCGGGAGGCUUAACACAUGCAAGUCGAGGGGCAUCACGAGGUAGCAAUACUUUGGUGGCGACCGGCGCACGGGUGAGUAACGCGUAUGCAACCUACCCUGUACAGGGGGAUAGCCCGGAGAAAUUCGGAUUAAUACCCCAUAAAGAUAAAAUGAGGCAUCUCAGGAUAUUUAAAGUUUCGGCGGUACGGGAUGGGCAUGCGUAACAUUAGCUAGUUGGUAGGGUAGCGGCCUACCAAGGCGACGAUGUUUAGGGGUCCUGAGAGGGUGAUCCCCACACUGGUACGAGACACGGACCAGACUCCUACGGGAGGCAGCAGUGAGGAAUAUUGGUCAUGGACGGAAGUCUGAACCAGCCAUCCCGCGUGGAGGAAGAAGGCGCUAUGCGUUGUAAACUGCUUUUCCGAGGGAAGAAAACCCCCCGACGUGUCGGGGCCUGUCGGUACCUUGGGAAUAAGCAUCGGCUAACUCCGUGCCAGCAGCCCGCGGUAAUACGGAGGAUGCGAGCGUUAUCCGGAUUUAUUGGGUUUAAAGGGUGCGUAGGCGGACUGAUAAGUCAGUGGUGAAAACCUGCAGCUUAACUGUAGAACUGCCAUUGAUACUGUCAGACUUGAGUAUGGUCAAGGUAGGCGGAAUGUGUAAUGUAGCGGUGAAAUGCUUAGAUAUUACACAGAAACACCCGAUUGCGAAGGCAGCUUGCUGGGGCCAUUACUGACGCUGAUGCACGAAAGCGUGGGGAGCGAAACAGGAUUAGAUACCCCUGGUAG